rnacentral:lncRNA from 1 species
UGAAGCUGAAGAAAUGAAUCGCGACGAAUCUGCGAUGAAAUUGACAUUCCUCAUGAAGAUACUGAAAUUGAGGAAUUCGGUGUGUCCUGAAGAAAAUCACUUUGAAGACUUUAAAGCAUGAAGAUUUAUUCUUUCUGUUUUAUUUUCUUCGCAUUUGAGUAAUAGAAACACCGUACUGUUAAAGGAGGUCGAAGUUACACUCUGGAAUGAAUUUCC